rnacentral:Y_RNA from 1 species
GGCUGGUCCGAAAGUAGUUAUCUCACUUGAUUGUUCACAGUCAGUUACAGAUUGAACUCCUUGUUGUAUUACUUUCCCCCCUCCUCACUACUGCAUUUGACAAAAAA